ACGACCCAAGUCGGGCCCCGGCCGUGAAGCGCGAUUCUCGCGUCGUUUAAUCGUCAAAAAUAAUAUUUCGCGCGCGUACAAGUGUCGGAGGUGUCGAAUUAAGUGACGAGCGAUCGUCUCGGGAUGUUAAUUAGCCUAUAAACGCGCAUAAUAUAUCAUCCAUUAUCGAGUCUUUGUCGUUCGUUGAUCCGCGAAUUUCGUGCGACAAAGAUGGCGAUACUUCGAAAUCGACAUCACAAAUAUUUAGAAAUCUGCGCGUAAAACCAUUUGAAAUCUCAAGAAAAUAUAAUCGAGUCGCCGUGUUUACAGAAAAAUAUUCCCUUAUCGCAUUUCCUGGAGAAAACUCGGGAGACGCUCGUCUAAGGAGAGGAAAAAGGACAUACGCCAGACAGUUUUACUAAUGUAAAGAUGCGGGCUCGAGCGAGGAUGAGGACGAAGAGGACAUUCGCCGAGUCCUUCCAUCUAUUCGCAUCGAUCGCGAUCGUUUUUUCUCGAAAAAGAAUAUUUCGCGCGCGUACAAAUGCCGGGAGUGUCGAAUUAAGUGACGGGCGAUCGUCUCGGAGUGUUAAUUAGUCUCUAAAUGAGCACGAUUUCGCGAUCGAUGUCUCGACGACGAGAUUCAUCCCCCUAACCUAUAUUUUGUUCUUUAAUUAUUAAUUUGCAUAUUUCGCGAUAUUUGCUCGUUCGGCGAGUUUCAAGCAGACAUCGAAGGAUAUCAUCGCGUGAUAAUACAUCGAUCGGUAAAUAUAAUUAUUGAAAUACAAUUGACGACCGCCAUUUUGUUAAGCGGCGUGAAUUUUUGGAAUUGUUUAUCGGUCUGAAGUAUAGAGGGUGCCAGGAACAUGUAAGCCAGAAGUGUCGCGUAAAUCGAGUUAUCACAGUAUUUCGGGUUAUGUACUUCUUCGAAUUUUACGUAGUUUCCGGGAGUGCCGAUGAUUUAAAUACACGCCGUGUAUUUUAUAAUAUUUGUCGGUCUGGCAAAAAUGUGUGAAAUAAAAAAAGUGCGCGAGUGUAUCGGGAGUGUCGCAUGAAAAAUAUAACGGGCGAUCGUUAAAAAUAAUAAAAAUAAUGUUAGCGAUGGUUAUCCAUUUGUUUGACCACUUGAAGCAAAAAAGGAGUAAGAAGGAAUAAACAAGCGGAAAGGAGUGGAAAAAGAAAGGAGCAGAAAAUAACACAACAUUGCAGUGGUGUAUUAUAUUACGGAGCAACAUUAGCUGAAAUGUGUUGCGAUACACAGUGCGAUUCACGCGUCGUGUCGGGAGUGCCGUGUAAAGUGUCGGGCGAUCGUUAAUUAUUCGUGAUUUCGCGAGUGUCGUCAGUACUAUACGAGGGACCAAAAGAGGAGGAGGAGGCCUUGGAGGCUCGGGUGACAGCGGGGCAACUGUGAGGUCAAUGUGCUACAACUCCGCUACUGCACGAUACGACGUAUGGCAUGCUGUCAAUGAUGGGACAUCAGAAAAGGAUCUCGAGUGAAAGGAUCUCAAGACGAACAAUCAUCUUGGCAAAGGUCCCACACGCACAGUAAUCCAUCCUGAGAUCCGCUACCGGAUGUCAUCGGACUGAGUCUAUCGAUAAAUAGGCAUGAUAUCGGACCACAAUGUCCAUGAAGCGUGUACAGAGGCAAUUGGUCCUCUAACCUAGGACGUGAAGCCCCAAUCAAUCUGCUGGCCUUCGCUGUAACUCUCGAGCUGUAGAAAGUCGAUGGUUCCAUUCAAUUUAGCCGCUACUACUCUGCUGCCGACGAGUUUAACGGCAGAAAUUCCAAGUCCCGAUCCAUCAUCGAAGAGACACUGUGAAUUAAGGACAAAAUAUAAGUAGUGACUAAUUUUUAUUUAUUAGAUAUGUUUUUCGGAUUAUUCAUGACUUACCUUAAAUCUACCAGUUGUACCUUCCCAGAAUUCUAGACUGCCGUUAGCGCAUCCAACCACUAUGAGAUUUUCCUGAUAAUCCAUACACCAGAUCGCCGAUGCGAUAUGCGAUGAUUGUAUCGUGCGAUCUGUAUUUAUGGAGGUCGUACUGCCAACCGAGUUAUUUAAUCUUGCAGGGGGAAUGCUCGACUGUUCCCUAGUUUCAGAUUUUUGCAUUUCCUCGAUCGAUUUAUUAUGUUCCUCCAGUAAAAUCUUAUAUCGUUCGCCAAAAUCGAAACCUUGAUCGUAGCUCUUUUGCAAGGGUGUAUAUUUUAUGGCUGUGAAUUUAGUAUUGAUCGCCGAUUUCAAAUCAGGAAUAUCGUAAGCACUGUCUAAGCUUCGACGUAACAUCAGUCUCUGUCUAGUACCGCUACCGAGUUCAGCGAUCUGAUAAUCAUAAUCCAGAGUGUUUCCUAUAGAUCGCCUUUUAUGAUUGUUAUUAUUAACCCUCUGCGUAUUGUUGUAAGCGGGGGAAAACUUUCCUGGAUACAUCGCCGGUGAGUAAAGUCCCAUUGAUUGCGCCGCUUCCAUCUCUCCUCUGGAAGGUGGUGAACCGCUCUCGUAAUCCGACAUGAGUUCAUCAGUAUCCGGUGACGUUUGGCUUAAAUUUUUGUGUGGACUGGUGAAAAAUUGCCGUCUAUCGAUAUGCGCCAGCUGCUCGCCGGAUGUUGAAUCCCAUAUUCUGAUGUGUCCCGCUAAACAUGUGCUAGCAACUGUAUUGCCGUCCGUCGCGAUACAUUCCACUUCCUGAGUAUGACCUUCCAAAACCAAGGGCACGGCCUCCAGCACUAGCUGAGUAACGGAAUCGUGCGUCUUCUCUUGCUUGUUCCAGCUAGCACGCCACUCGGCGUAAUUUCUGGAGCAGAUACAACGAUAAAGGACGACCAUCGUGUAAGCGACUACAAUCACGCUAAUGAGACACAGUACAGCGGCCAAAAAUAUCUCCAUCGGACUCGACGGUACAAAAGGCGCAUCCGUAUUAAAUACGCGUCCUUCUGAUCUCGAUCGUACUUCCAUAUCUAGAAAAUAAAGAUAGUUAUUAAAAUUAAUGAUAUUGUUAUGUCUAGUGUGUGAUUAAUCUUUCAUUCAAUUACAAACCAGAAAAAUCCAAGGGAUCCAGCGCGGCGGUAGCGAGACUCUGCCAUUGGAAGUGCUGAACGUCUUUCGGAUUGCUUAUUUUUUCACUAAUUGUGGAUUCACUGCAUGUGAUAGCUUUAUUGUCGGAAGUAUAGUCACUCGUCCACCAGCAAUCGAUACGUUAUACAUCGAAAGAAUCGAGGACCAAUGAUACAAUGAUAAACUGUUCCAAGGCGGAUAAUCCAUAGGUCUUAACUUGUUUAAUUCCUCGGUCGUAUUAUUAGUUACAUCCUGAAAAAAAAAAAAAAAAAAUACAUUUUUCCUUAAAUAUAUAGACAAUUAUGAGAAUAAGGAAUAAUAUUGUAAUAAAAAAUAAAAAUUCACCUGUUCAUUCAAAUUAUCAGGUACUAUAGUCGCUGGUGAUACGGAUAUUGGUGUCACUGUAUUAAUUUCAACAUAGUUCAUUGGUUGAGGUUUAUCUAUCGUAUAUCCAUCAUCAGCUUCUGGUUUUAGCGUCUCGCUCAAAUGUAUCACAUGUUCAAUAAUGCCAGAAUUGUUGAUAGUCAUGCUGAUCCAUACAACCAUCCAUACCAUAAAUGCACGUUGGAAGAUUCGCGUUCGCGCCCAAAAGUGCACCAAUCUCAAACGCUUGGGAAUCUUGCCCAGCGUAUGAGUAUUUUGCGUAUUUGGAGCGAUAACGUUUGUCGGCCCUGUGGCUAAACCGUUUAAUUUUGGAUGAGACUUGGAGCGGAAGAUGUGAGGUUUUCUGUUGGUAAUAGUAGUUGUGAAUUGUUGUCUGCGUGACGUGGGGAUGUGCGACAAGUGAAAUUUGGAAUUUUCGUUAGAUAGCUCCGUACGUCUGAUGUCGAGCGCAAGAAUAGUCGAGAAGAAUACCAUUUGCAGGAAAAAAUCACUCAGUAGUCCAACGAUUGCGAAUAUGCAAAAUUCCUGAAUGGCAGGAACAAAAGUGAACAGUCCAAUAGUUAAUAUCGUCACUUCUGUAAGCAGAUUUUUCGUAAUGGACCAUCCUUCCUUCGAUAGAGCUUGAGCGACACGUAUUUUCACAUCCAGAUGGGCGGCCGUACUGACGACACUCUUUGUCAAUACCUGAACGUUUUCAAGGCCGAAAAUAAUCACCAGCAUAUUGAAGAAUUCUUUGGCGAAUCCGAGCAGGAUAUCUCUUCACUCCCGUUUCUUUCAAACUCAUUCCAAACAUUACUUCUGCGAGACUUAUUUUACCUCUCUGAAGAUUCUGCGAUAUAUAGAAAGAAGAUUGAACACUUCGUAGAGAGGCCCCCGAAAGGCGUCCAUCAGUGUCAGAUCUUCGUUCCAUGGCAUCACUCCGAUUCUCAGCACUACUUGUUGAACGUACAAUACUGAAGUUUCCGUACCAUUGGCUGGUAUAACUGUGUCAUUUAUCAGAGUCUUCGGAGUAUUGCCAGGCAUGGGCAAAUUGACAAGUGGAUAGCUGCAAUACACAAUAUGUAGUGAAUGAUAAGCAAACUUCAAGAACGAGUUUUGAUUAAAGAAUGGAAAUUCAGUCGUCUCGUAAGAAAACAAUCUCGCGAGGCGAGACGAGGCGGCGAGGCUUUACUUGUCGGCAGUCGCGGUCGGACGCGUCUCGCCUAUUAUCCCGCGAUUGACGUGUCUAAUUGCAUCAAUUGCGUAAUAAAUGGAAAUUAAGCUGCUGCAAAUGGCCAAGUAUCGCUCGGAGGUCAAUCGUCUGCGAGCGUGCACGAUUUUAGAGCCCGCGAGACACGCAUUAUGUUAUACGAGUCUCGAGGAAAGACGUCAAUUAUUAGAUCAAUGUUAACGCGACUAAUUAUAUAUUUUGGGAGAUAGAUAGUUUUGUGUGUAUUUUAAACAGAGGAAGAAUUAUUUUUUCGUACUAAAUAAGAACAAUACAAUAUUUAUAAUAAAUAAGAAUCAAUAUUAUGUGUAAAUAAGGUAAUAUAUUAAUGUAAUGUAUUCUCAUUUUUUAUGUUUCUCUAUAAUUGGUGCAUAGAUAAUAUGUAAUACAUAGAUAAAAGGCAUUUUUAUGUAUAUAUUUA